CCUUAUACUUUCUGGUGAGAAGCUCUGCCCCUUGAGAAUUAGGGUCUGGGGGGAGAAAGGGAGGUUGGAACACCGCUGAACUUUCUUGUGGGCCAUGCAGCAGCCCUGAGGAUGACCAGCAACCCCAGAGGAGUCAGCAUCUGUCUGUGCCCCAGGUGCUAAUGCAGAAAGGGAAAGAAACCACCGAGAAUGAGAGGUGGGAGUAAAAAGACCUAGGAGUGUUCGUGGGUGCUGGGUGUUUGGGUGCGUUUGUUUUCUGGCCUAUCUCUCUGGUUCCUCCACAGCAGGCUCCAGAGCCAGCGAUCGCACCAAGGAUGUCUGAGGGAAACGCCUAACACAGAGACGCCCCCUCCCCAAGGCUCAGCUGUCUCCCGACUGUAGAAGGUCCCCAAGAGAGGGCUCCCUCCGGGACGGGAUUGGACUCUGCUCCAAGGAGGCGGGCCGCGGGGCCGGCGGCCGAGGGGUAUUUAAGGCUGGGCGGAGUUGGAGGUGGCCAAGGGCGAAAUGAGUGGGCUACCGGGCGCCAGGACCUGCCCAGGUCCGGGAGAGGCCUCCGACCUUAAGUCCCCUCUGGGCGCCAAGUUCAGGGAACCUCUCACCGAGACCCGGUUCCAGCAGCUCUUCGGAGACGCAGAGCAGGAGCCCGAGCUGCUCGCGGAGCCGCGCUGGUCCCGGCUGUGGCGGCGGCGGGCCAGCGCCUGCUCUGGACCAGGGGCGUGGCGCCUGCUCCUGGCGCGGCUGCCUCCGCUGCGCUGGCUGCCCCACUACCGCUGGCGGGCCUGGCUGCUCGGGGACGCGGUGGCCGGACUGACCGUGGGCAUCGUGCACGUGCCCCAGGGCAUGGCUUUUGCCCUCCUGACCUCUGUGCCCCCAGUGUUCGGACUCUACACUUCUUUCUUUCCCGUCCUCAUCUACACCUUGUUGGGUACUGGGAGACACCUGUCUACUGGAACUUUCGCUGUCCUCAGCCUCAUGACCGGCUCGGCCGUGGAGCGGCUGGUGCCCGAACCCCUCUCAGGGAACCUGAGCGGAAUUGAGAAGGAACAGUUGGAUGCUCAGCGGGUUGGUGCGGCUGCGGCAGUGGCCUUCGGGAGCGGGGCCCUGAUGCUGGGGAUGUUUGCCCUGCAGCUGGGCGUCCUGGCCACCUUCUUGUCGGAGCCUGUAGUCAAAGCGCUGACCAGCGGGGCCGCCCUGCACGUGCUCGUGUCCCAGCUGCCUAGUCUUUUGGGGGUGCCCCUCCCACGUCAGAUUGGCUGCUUCGCUCUUUUCAAGACGUUGGCUGCUGUGUUGACGGCGCUGCCCCGGAGCAGUCCCGCCGAACUGACCAUCUCAGCACUCAGCCUGGCGCUGCUCGUGCCGGUCAAGGAACUGAACGUGAGAUUCAGAGACAGGCUACCCACCCCCAUCCCGGGGGAAAUCGCCAUGGUGCUUCUGGCCUCUGUGCUCUGCUUCACCUCUUCCCUGGACACAAGAUACAAUGUCCAGAUAGUUGGGUUGCUGCCUGGAGGAUUUCCCCAACCUCUCCUCCCCAGCCUGGCUGAGCUGCCCAGGAUUCUGGCCGACUCGUUGCCCAUGGCGCUGGUUACCUUUGCAGUGUCUGCCUCCCUGGCCUCCAUCUAUGCAGACAAGUACAGCUACACUAUUGACUCCAACCAGGAGCUCCUGGCACAUGGUGUCUCCAACCUCGUCUCCUCCCUCUUCUCUUGCUUUCCCAACUCUGCCACGUUGGCUACGACCAGCCUACUCGUGGAUGCUGGUGGGAACACACAGCUGGCAGGCCUCUUCUCCUGUAUGGUUGUCCUGUCUGUACUACUGUGGCUGGGGCCCCUCUUCUACUAUCUGCCCAAGGCUGUCUUGGCCUGCAUCAACAUCUCCAGCAUGCGCCAGAUGUUCUUCCAGAUGCGAGAACUCCCUCAACUAUGGCGCAUCAGCCGCGUGGACUUUGCUGUGUGGAUGGUCACAUGGGUGGCUGUCGUGACCCUGAGUGUGGACCUGGGCCUGGCUGUAGGUGUGGUCUUCUCCAUGAUGACUGUGGUCUGCCGCACCCAGAGGGUACAGUGCCUGGCACUUGGACUGGCUGAGGGGACAGAGCUCUACCGGCCACUCAGAGAGAGCCACAAGCUCCUCCAGGUCCCAGGGCUCUGCAUCCUGAGCUAUCCAGCACCACUUUACUUUGGGACCCGAGGGCAGUUUCGCCGUGUCCUGGAGUGGCAUCUGGGGCUUGGAGAAGGAAGAAAGGAGGCUCCAAAGACAGAUGGCCCACCUGAUGCAGCUGCCGAGCCUGUCAGGGUGGUGGUCCUAGACUGCAGUGGUGUCACCUUUGCAGAUGCUGCAGGCGCCAGAGAAGUGGUUCAGCUGGCCAGUCGAUGCCGAGACGCUGGGAUCCACCUUCUCCUGGCUCAGUGUAAUGCCUCAGUGCUGGGGACGCUGACCCAGGCAGGACUCCUGGACAGAGUGACCCCAGAACAGCUGUUUGUCAGUGUCCAGGAUGCAGCUGCGCAUGCUCUGGAGAGGCUGGAGCUCAAUGGUCCAAAGACUUGCACAGUGUGGGUCUGACCCGGUCAUUUGGUGUGUGGAGGGCCCCAACGAGACAUGUGUGAGGCGGUCCAUGGCCCCUGAGUCCCCUGACUUCAUGUAACUAAUAAAAUGACGCUGAGAGCCUCUGGGGUUCAUGAAAUGAGUCUGGGUGUCUGCACAUGGACCCUUGGUGCCCCUUCCUUCACUCCCAAAGCAUUGCAAAGACACAACUAAAAAUGGCUUUCCCCUGUAUGUUCACCAGCCCCCAUUCCAACUCCAUUCUCUCCAUGGGGGUGAGGCUGCAGCCACUGCACAGAGUCCUGGAUCCAGAGAUCGGGGCACAGCCCUGGGACUAUAUACUGGGGGCUUCCCCAACCCCUUAGUACCAAGGAGAUGAGAGGAGAGUAUUUCUGCUUUAGGUUUUUAGAGUCCCCCUUUGGGCUCUUUGGCACUUGAAAAGCAACCCCCCACUCCCUGCCCUAGGAGAAGGGGUAGGGGGGAGGACUUGGCACUGGCUGUGGGACAAGUUAUGGCUCCAUCAUGCCCCUGGGCACUUGCAGAAAGGAGGAGGGACACCAGGACAAGCCCCUGUUUGGGAUCAAGUUCUGAAGGAGACUGGGACAGUCAGUGGAGUGGUCACUGGCUGGCGGGGUUUGCUAGGAAUUCCUGGCAGGGACAAGGAGGCAGGCCUAGUCUGACAGCUGAAAGGCCCCAAGUGGCCAUCACUCUGAAGUCAUGCACUGCAGCCGGUGUUUGAAGAAGAGCAGGCGAUGUUUGGCCACCUGACUCUCGUCCAGUGAUCCCGGGUAACGGUACCGAGCAUAAGUCUCUGCCUUCGCAUCCCUUGAGGUCCAAGGCAACUUCAACUUGGAUGCGUGAUCCACAACGACGUCUGAGCAGGAGCCCACUUGAAGAGAACCAAGUCCAUCCAGGAAGAAUUCUGGGGGCAGAGGGAAGGGGAGUACACAAUGAAGGGUCUUGAGGAUUCAGAGGCACCGCUGCCCCUAAAGGAGAACUGAGAUUUGGGAUAUGGUGGGUGCAUAUGCAAAGACUCCAUCUCUAAGGACCUUAGGCAUGUAAAUCAACCCUUUUGAGUCUUGUAUAAAAUGGAGUCAAUAUCCUUAUCUUGUACUUUGAAAACGGAUUCCUUCCCUCCCUCCUGCAACACACACACACCCAAAAAUUCAAUAAAUGCGGACUUGGCUGCUCCGAGGUAGCCUGAACCAGGAGAUUCGGUUGGGAGCAGGAUAGAGGCCGAGGUGACCGUGGUGGGGAAGCUCAAGGCAGACCCAGUGGCUGUACUGGCCGCUGAGGUUUAAAUGAUGUUUGGGGCUGGGAUGUUUGGAGCUCUCUCUGUGGCCGGGGCACGGGUCUUGGCGAAUCUUCGUAGAACUGCUCUAGGGACCCCGGUGGCAGCUGUGGGCUCCGCGGGGUGGUCGGGCAGUAGUACUCAGGGCCCCAGGCACCUUACUGCCCCACCACCCCGCGGUCCCUGGUCCCGAGCCCCGAAGGGUCCCUGCCCGGCCUGGAGGGGGCGCCACUCACCCAGGUGCGCCACGCGGCUGAGGCGAGGGUCAAAGCCGACCUCGCGCACCUUGUCAGUGCGCGCCAGGAAGAAGUUGACCACACCGUCGGUGACCACGCACCCCGGGAAGCCGACGAGCUCGUGGUGGAAGCCGCGCUUCUGCCGGAGGCAGUUCCCGCGGCCUGGCGCGCCGGGCUCCACGCUCAGCAGCUGCCGGUCCAGCGGCGUCCUCUCCAACACGUCCACAAGCCUCUCUAGUCGCGUCCGUGCCGUGAAGACGAAGUCAUCGUCCACCCACAGCACGUACUUGGUGGUUACUUGGGAUAUGGCCAGGUUCCGGCCUGCGAACCAGCCCUGGGAAAGGCGAUCUUUCAGCAUCCUGCAACCCAGCGAGACGUGCUGCGCACCGAAGGAGCGGACAUGGGGAGAACGAUCAUAGCCAGGCUCGGACUGGGGCUGCUGCUUCUGGCUCUGCUCUUACCUACGCAGACUUACUCAAAUCAAACAACUGUUGUAACACCUUCAAGUAACUCCUCCCAGACUACCUCACCUGCCCCUCAUCCAGCCAAUGCCACCACCAAGGCAAGCGAUGGUACUCUGCAGUCAACAGCCAGUCUCUGUGAUCUCGGUUUCCCUUCUACAUCUCUACUGUUAAGAGACUCAGGCGAAGAAACAUCUGUACUUCACCAUCUUCUAAAUCCGGUUCAAAUGGCAUCUAUACAUCCUGUGUGACAAAGG